GCUGCUCAUCACUGCUGGUUCCCUGUUCAAAGAGUGACAACAGACAACCCUGAUCAUCACCUUUUCUAUCCUCCUGCUGAUCUCCGUGUGUUUGCCAACCCUGUUGACAGAACCAGGGCAUUGCUGAAGUGCCACGUCACCAGUACUGACAAAUCAGUGCGUUCAGUGUCUCUGACUGAAGACGGGGCCCCCAAGGCAAACUGGAUCACUGUAACUGGCCCGUUGCCUUCUGGGGAUGGAUCAGUGAUCCUCAUCCUGACAGCUGAGGUCCCCCUGAUCCACACCAACAUCUAUGGCUGUGUUGUCCAAACAGAAGACAGAAACAUCACUGUCAUGUGGGAUGGAAACACACUUGAUGGAAGAGAAAUUCUUUCCACAAGUGUCAGUUGGACAAUAAUUUUGGGCUGCAUUCUGUUUUUAUGUGUUCUUUUUCUAAUCUGCACAACAGCACUGGUGCUCAAAUGUACCAGUAAGUAUCACUACAGUAAAUGUAACAUUUAAGUCAGUCUGUCAGCUGCUGAUUUAGUAUUGUUGAAAUAUUUUAACAAUAACAUUUUUGUGGACAAAUCAUUGAGUUUCUAAUGAGAUCUACCUCUCAGCACAUAUUAAUUCAUCCUCCAUUUAAUUACAACAAAGUCAAGAAUAAUAAGAGGAUUUUGUAAAGUGAAGGAGCACAGGCAUAAAUGGUCUAUUUUUCUGGCUGCUUAAGCUUUGAACUAUUUAUUUUCUUCCACAGAUGAUUUAACAGACUUACAAAAAGCACUAGAAAUAAAAACGUGUCUAGGCUCUUAACAGGAGUGUCGUGAUGUAAAUAUACAGUGGUUAUGUUGGACAACUACUCUACACCCCAAUACACGCGACACAUUAUUAUCACCAACAAAUGUUAGUCCCCAUUUGAGCUGCAUUGAAUUGAAUGGAACAGAUUAUUGUCUGUUAGCCUAACUUAAUUGGUGUGUGUGAGGAACUGUAACAUGAAUGAGUUCAUGCAUACCAUAGUUUCAGGGAGGAAGAUCACUUUUCCAUGAUUUUUUUAACUAAGACUCCUAAAUUGUGUUGAAUGAACUCAUUAACUGGAAUGACCAGAGUGUCAUCUUUUGAACCAGCCAGGCACUCUGGGUGCUAAAGCUCUGAACCUAUAAAUCACCCCUGGAAGAAAUGAAAACACACUUCAGAAGCACCUUGAAGAAUAUUUAAGAGGAUGAUUGCAUCAACAGAAAAUGUUCUCUGUUUGUUCUUUUUUUAUCUAAUAAAUGUCUGCUUUCUAAUAUUGUAUAUUUUUAUAUCCUGUAUUAAAAUAAAUGUUUUUUAAGAGCCUGUGUGAUACAUAUUUAAAGAACUUUGUUUUCUUUUACUCCAGUUUAUGAGGAAACAUUUGAUUGGGCUUGUUUUCCUUUAAAGGUCAGCUUCUCACUGACAAGAUCAUUAUAGGAUACAGGAGUUUUAGUGUGAGAGCCUAUAUUCAACCUCCUAUUAGGUAUUACAAUUGCCAAAGGUAUGACCAUCAUUACAGUGUGUAGGGGGGAGCAGAGGUGUGUGUGUGUGUGGGGGGGGGGGGGGGGGGGGGGGGCACAGUUAAUGUAAAUGUAACUGGGGAAACUACAGUGUGGAGAAAACAGUUGUAAUUCAACAAGUCUGAGAAGAGCAGAGAACAGAGGCAGUGAAGCUUGUGAGUAAAAAUAAAAGAGUGGAAGAGAUGAAUGAACCAAAUAAAUCAUGUGUUUCAUUCAGCAACCCCUACAUACCAUAAUACACAUACUCCAGUGGAAUGGUCAAAGUCUCAUCACAGACAGGAAAGACUUUAAAAAAUAUAUCCC
rnacentral:lncRNA from 1 species